rnacentral:rRNA from 1 species
UGAGGAAUCUUGCGCAAUGGGGGAAACCCUGACGCAGCAACGCCGCGUGAGUGAGGAAGGCCUUCGGGUCGUAAAGCUCUGUCAGAUGGGAAGAAAUGGGUGGGGGUGAAUAUCGUCCACCCUUGACGGUACCAUCAGAGGAAGCACCGGCUAACUCCGUGCCAGCAGCCGCGGUAAUACGGGGGGUGCAAGCGUUGUUCGGAAUCAUUGGGCGUAAAGCGCACGCAGGCGGCUUGGUAAGUCAGAUGUGAAAGCCCUGGGCUUAACUCAGGAAGUGCAUUUGAUACUGCCUCGCUAGAGUACGGGAGAGGAAAGUGGAAUUCCUGGUGUAGAGGUGAAAUUCGUAGAUAUCAGGAGGAACACCGGUGGCGAAGGCGACUUUCUGGCCCGAUACUGACGCUCAGGCGCGAAAGCGUGGGGAGCAAACAG